rnacentral:rRNA from 1 species
GAGUUUGAUCCUGGCUCAGAUUGAACGCUGGCGGCAGGCCUAACACAUGCAAGUCGAGCGGCAGCGGGAAAGUARCUUGCUACUUUWGCCGGCGAGCGGCGGACGGGUGAGUAAUGCCUGGGAAAUUGCCCAGUCGAGGGGGAUAACAGUUGGAAACGACUGSUAAUACCGCAUMCGCCYUAYGGGGGAAAGCAGGGGACCUUCGGGCCUUGCGCGAUYGGAUAUGCCCAGGUGGGAUUAGCUUGUUGGUGAGGUAAUGGCUCACCAWGGCGACGAUCCCUAGSUGGUYUGAGAGGAUGAUCAGCCACACYGGAACUGAGACACGGUCCAGAYUCCUACGGGAGGCAGCAGUGGGGAAUAUUGCACAAUGGGGGAAACCCUKAUGCAGCCMYGCCGCGUGUGUGAAGAAGGCCUUCGG